rnacentral:lncRNA from 1 species
CUGGAUGUUGGAAUUAGAAUGCUUAACAGAUACAAUUAUCUACACAUAAUGAAGAAAGACUCUUAUUUUGCUGUUGCCACAUAGCAAAUCCAGAAAAAUAAUUUACCAGAAAAAUAAUAUAAAAAUAAUAAUCUUUCAUUAAGUAGACAGAAAUUUUACCUGAAAUGUUUAAUCUUAGAUCUUAGAACUUUUACAGAAGUGUUGUCAAUUUGAUAACCUUACAUGAACAUAUAUGUUACAAGACAAAUAGACCCAAAAAAGACGAAUUUUAUUAAAAACAAAUCUAUAUUAAAAAUUAAAAUCUUUGAUUUUAAAAAAAAAAUUAAAGGGAGACAACAAGUGACUGACUACCUGUCAAUAUAUACAACCU